AAACCAGCACCUCAAGUGGUCAGGAGGAUUAUUGGGCCUAAAGCAUCCGUAGCCUGUUCUGUAAGUUUUCGGUUAAAUCCAUUAGCUCAACUAAUGGGCCGCCGAAAAUACUGCAUAACUAGGGAGUGGGAGCGGUAGACGGUACUCGGUAGGAAGGGGUAAAAUCCUUUGAUCUAUUGAUGACCACCUGUGGCGAAGGCGGUCUACCAGAACACGUUCGACGGUGAGGGAUGAAAGCUGGGGGAGCAAACCGGAUUAGAAACCCGAGUAGUCC
rnacentral:rRNA from 1 species